CAAGGUAUAAUAUGGUCCUGUUCAGUCUUUACGGAAUUGGUCCCACAUGGACCGCGUCUGGUCUGAUUCAUAUUUUGCUUGAGUCUAGAUUGGGUUGGUCGACGAUGACAUAAAUCGGUAAAGAAUGGAUGGGCAAAUAGGUGAAUAUUGGCAAAGAGAAGGGAAGACGUUCUGGAAAACACAUUUGAAGUAGGUUUGUUCAUUGUGGAAUCACUCUAAAUUAUGACAACAAUAGCAAAGGUCCCAAAGCUCUCAUUUGAAAAAUGAAUUGUUGAGGCUUACACGAUGUGUUAACAACUAGAAGACCUCUAAAAUCUACUUCCAUGGCAAAAAGGUAAAAACAAGAAAGCAGAAAACAAUCUAACUUGAAGCCCUUCUGCUUUGGAGCGAACAUGACAUCAAGUAUCGAUACAAACUUGUAGUAGCCAGAUGGAAGGUUGAGCCGAGACAGACAUCAAAGGAGAGACCCGAGGACCUAGAACACGAGGGACACAACGCCAGUGGGAAGUGGAUUCAACGGCCGCCUGCACAAAUUGCUUUCCUCAGUGGAGCAGAAACAGACCCGCUCAAAGACUGUCCUCUAGGUCCGGGCUGGGAAGGAACUAAACCCGGAAUUUAGCAAUAGACAGGACAACACACACCACAGGUGCUUAAUAGCGCUCAACCAACUCGACCGCACUCGCCCUCUACGUCGGUACAUAGUAAGGGGCAGAAUCACUACCUCCCGAGUCUUACUACCUCCUCCAACCGAAAAGUGUUACCUGGUGCUCCAAGAAAACGAAGAACCUCCACACCCCAGCUCGAAUAAACCUGCAAUUCCAAUCCAAACUAACAAGCAACGCCAACACCAACAACAAAGUAGGGGAGAGGAGCUAAAUUAAUGCAUCACUCAAUAGCUAAUCGCCUAAUCUUGACUCAACGGAGUGACAGAGAUGACCCUAUCGCAUCCAUUCCGAGGUCUCGAGACCUCUAGCUCAGGCGAUGCGUACCCGGUUAGCCUUUGGAGGCAGAGGCCAAGAAGCGACAUUUUUAUUUUGCAGUCCAGCGAGAAGAGUCAGGAGUCGGGAGUAACGAAAGCUUCGGUGAAGAGGAGGAAGAAGCAGCAGCACAGUCGCUAGAGGCACCGUUUCGACGAAUCGAACAUGUCAUCUGCGAAGACGACGACCAAAA